rnacentral:tRNA from 1 species
CGCGACACUAGCUCAGUUGGUAGAGCGCAACCUUGCCAAGGUUGAGGUCACGAGUUCGAACCUCGUGUGUCGCNN